rnacentral:rRNA from 1 species
GAUUAUGGCUCAGGAUGAACGCUGGCGGCAGGCUUAAUACAUGCAAGUCGAACGGUAACGACCGGUAGCAAUACUGGGGCGACGAGUGGCGCACGGGUGCGUAACGCGUAUGCAACCUACCCUCAACCGGGGCAUAACGCCGAGAAAUUGGCGCUAAUAUCCCAUGUGUAUGGGAAGUGGCAUCACUACCUAUAUAAAGAUCCGUUGGUUAAGGAUGGGCAUGCGUAACAUUAGCUAGUUGGCGGGGUAACGGCCCACCAAGGCGACGAUGUUUAGGGGUUCUGAGAGGAUUCACCCCCACACUGGAACUGAGACACGGUCCAGACUCCUACGGGAGGCAGCAGUAGGGAAUAUUGGGCAAUGGAGGCAACUCUGACCCAGCCAUGCCGCCGUGAAGGAAGACGGCCCUAUGGGUUGUAAACUUCUUUUGCCGCAGAGUAACCCGGGGGACGCGUCCCCCGCUGAGAGUAUGCGGCGAAUAAGUAUCGGCUAACUCCGUGCCAGCCGCUGC